rnacentral:rRNA from 1 species
AGAGCGAACGCUGGCGGCAGGCCUAAUACAUGCAAGUCGAACGGAUCCUUCGGGAUUAGUGGCGGACGGGUGAGUAACACGUGGGAACGUACCCUUUGGUUCGGAACAACUCAGGGAAACUUGAGCUAAUACCGAAUGUGCCCUUCGGGGAAAAGAUUUAUCGCCAUUGGAGCGGCCCGCGUCUGAUUAGCUAGUUGGUAGGGUAAAGGCCUACCAAGGCUACGAUCAGUAGCUGGUCUGAGAGGAUGAUCAGCCACACUGGGACUGAGACACCGGCCCAGACUCCUACGGGAGGCAGCAGUAGGGAAUCUUGCGCAAUGGGCGAAAGCCUGACGCAGCCAUGCCGCGUGAAUGAUGAAGGUCUUAGGAUUGUAAAAUUCUUUCAGCGGGGACGAUAAUGACGGUACCCGCAGAAGAACGCCCCGGCUAACUUCGUGCCAGCACGCCGC